rnacentral:rRNA from 1 species
GAUGAACGCUGGCGGCGUGCCUAAUACAUGCAAGUCGAGCGAAUGGAUUAAGAGCUUGCUCUUAUGAAGUUAGCGGCGGACGGGUGAGUAACACGUGGGUAACCUGCCCAUAAGACUGGGAUAACUCCGGGAAACCGGGGCUAAUACCGGAUAACAUUUUGAACAGCAUGGUACGAAAUUGAAAGGCGGCUUCGGCUGUCACUUAUGGAUGGACCAGCGUCGCAUUAGCUAGUUGGUGAGGUAACGGCUCACCAAGGCAACGAUGCGUAGCCGACCUGAGAGGGUGAUCGGCCACACUGGGACUGAGACACGGCCCAGACUCCUACGGGAGGCAGCAGUAGGGAAUCUUCCGCAAUGGACGAAAGUCUGACGGGGCAACGCCGCGUGAGUGAUGAAGGCUUUCGGGUCGUAAAACUCUGUUGUUAGGGAAGAACAAGUGCUAGUUGAAUAAGCUGGCACCUUGACGGUACCUAACCAGAAAGCCACGGCUAACUACGUGCCAGCAGCCGCGGUAA